CCCCGUCGUUUUCAAGGUGCCCCAGAAAACAGGACACUGUCAAGUUAGACCCGACCCUUUGCUCUAGUGCGGGAUAAGAAAGCCCAGAACUUGAAAAAACAGAUGUGUCCUGGCAUUUAUGGGCUGAGUUGUGCUUCCCUCAAAUGACUGUGUUUAACUUGAGGGGCUGUAGGGGCUCUAUUUGGACAUAGGGCCUUUAAAGAAGUGAUCAAAUUAAAAUGAAGCUCUAGGGCAGACCUGAUCAUUUUGACUGAUGUCCUUUUAGAAGAGGAAAUUUGAACCCACAAAGAGAGAACCAGGGGUGUCACGCACAGAGGAAGAAAGACCAUGUGACGACACAGCAAGAAAGCAGUGGUCUGCAAGCCAAGAAGAGAGGCCUCGGGAGAAAUCAAACCUGUUGACAUCUUAAUGUUGGGACUUCUAACCUCCGGAACUGUGAGAGAUAAAUUUCCGUUGUUUAAGCCACUCAGUCUGCAGUAUUUUGUUAUGGCAGCCCUAGAAAACGAAUGCAGCCUUCGAGACAGUUUUUCUAUUUUGAGAGUCUCAAGUCCAUGCUGGAAUACAAAACCAAGAAAUUGUCUGCCACAGAACAUCUUCCUCUGUCUGAGGGCUGGGCCUAGCCAAAACUUUUACCAUUUUCUAACUGGUGGGGAAAUUUUGAAACAAAGAAAUCUGUUAGUAUUUUAACAUUAUACUAGUAUGGGUAAAAUAUCUAACCAAAGAUAAUGGAUACAUUCAAGUCAGGCCUUCAUAGCUAAGGUUUGGUAUUCCUAAGGAAUUAUGGGAGACUUAGAUAUUUUUGGAGGCUGGUUGGCAUUUUGGUGAUAAUAGAAGCAAAAAAUAUGUGAGCCCAGUGAAAUGAUUGUUCCUUCAAUGGAUGGCCCUUAUUUUCUUUUUCUAUUUAUGUUUUGAUUCCAAAUUUUCAAAUAUUUAAGUGUGUUAAAAUUUUUUAUUAUCAAGGGCAUCCAAAUAUGCACAUAUUUUAGGAAUGCCUUAUAAACUGUGAUCUAGUCAGUGUGGAGUCCCCCUUGGCUUAGGUGAGGAUCUAUACAUUCUUUGUCUCCAGGGCUCUUGAGCAGCUAGUUUACUUUUUUGACUUAAGUGACUGGAUGCAUCUCACCUGUGUAUUUUCAUCUUUGAUCUUUCUCCGUUUAUGUAUUUCUCAUGCUGUACUAGAGUGUCAUUAAAGGAAUAACAAGUGCUCUCCUAAGUUGAUAUAUUUUGAUUCUUUAAUUACUUUGUUUCAGUUUUCUUAUCUAUAAAAUUAGAUACUUGAAAGUUUUCUUAAAAGUAAUUAUAUCUCUUUAAUAUUUGAAAAUAAGGUAUGGAAAAUUGAGUAUCUCAUGCUCAUCCACACUUCUCCACUAUUGUUUUUUUUUUUUUUCCUCCUCUUAACAAAAAUAUUCCACAACAACCCCUUUUGAAAAGCAAUGUGUAAAUGAGUAUCAGUAGUCUUAGAAAUGAUUUAUUAGGUGCCUGGGUGGCUCAUAGUUGGUUAAACAUCUGCUUUGUCUCAGGUCAUGAUCCCAGGGUCCUAGUUUGCCAUCAGGCUCCCUGCUCAGCUGGGAGUCUGCCUCUCCCUCCCCCAGCCCUGCUUGUGCUGCUUCUCUCUCUCACAAAAAUAAACAAAUAAAAUCUUUUAAGAAAAUGA